rnacentral:sRNA from 1 species
UAUUCUGCCCCAAGGGGAAGGAUGAGAAGCUUCGACUAAGGUUCGACUCGAGCGAAGCGAGAGAACGUUGCCGCAGGCAACGGCCCGAAGGGCGAGGCGCUUUAGCGCCGAGUAAUCCUUCCCCCACCACCA